UGGGGAAUCUUGCGCAAUGGUCGAAAGACUGAUGCAGCGACGCCGCGUGAGGGAUGACGGCCUUCGGGUUGUAAACCUCUUUCAGCAGGGAAAAAGCGAAAGUGACGGUACCUGCAGAAGAAGCGCCGGCUAACUACGUGCCAGCAGCCGCGGUAAUACGUAGGGCGCGAGCGUUGUCCGGAAUUAUUGGGCGUAAAGAGCUCGUAGGCGGUCUGUCGCGUCGGAUGUGAAAGCCCGGGGCUUAACCCCGGGUCUGCAUUCGAUACGGGCAGACUAGAGUGUGGUAGGGGAGAUCGGAAUUCCUGGUGUAGCGGUGAAAUGCGCAGAUAUCAGGAGGAACACCGGUGGCGAAGGCGGAUCUCUGGGCCAUUACUGACGCUGAGGAGCGAAAGCGUGGGGAGCGAA
rnacentral:rRNA from 1 species